UACGUAGGUGGCAAGCGUUGUCCGGAUUUAUUGGGUUUAAAGGGUGCGUCGGCGGUUCUAUAAGUCAGUGGUGAAAUCCGGCAGCUCAACUGUCGAUGGGCCAUUGAUACUGCAGAACUUGAGUACAGACGAGGUAGGCGGAAUUGACGGUGUAGCGGUGAAAUGCUUAGAUAUCGUCAAGAACACCGAUAGCGAAGGCAGCUUACUGGGCUGUAACUGACGCUGAGGCACGAAAGUGUGGGGAUCAAACAGG
rnacentral:rRNA from 1 species